UUUGAGUCUUUAAGAACAUUUUGGAUUAAAGAACAAACACAAUUAGGAUUACUUGGCAAUUACACUGGAGUAAUCAGCCAAUGAUCCUGCACAGCGAUAUGCAACUUCUAUCACUUCUGCCCAAAGGAGGGCAUUGUAUUGAAUGCCAGUGACCCAACGAGUGGCUGCUAUCAGCAGGCAGCCAUCUGUCAACCCUCCUCCUCUGAAAUCUGUGGACGAAACCUUGGCCCCUCACCCCACCAGGCAUUCCUGUGGAGGGGGGCAUCCAUGGGGACUCUCUGCCCAGCCACAAGCUGGGGCCGUACCAUCUCCUGGCUUCUCCUUCCUGCUCCUCCAGACGGUGCCAACCAACUGCACUAACCACACAUUCUGAUAUGACAGAUUAAACACUAAGAAUGAGGAAAUCAAACAGCACACAAAAUCCACAAGGCAAGCUCGCUGGACAAAUAUUUCCAAUUAACUUUGCAGUUGGGCCAAGCUGAGUCUGAAGCUGGCUCUGUAAUCAGAAACCUCUCAGUCAGCCGGGCGGGUUUCAUGUGGUUGGGCUGUGCUGUGUUCAGUCUGGCAGCAGAGAAGCUAGUCCUGGGGAAAGGAUAUAGUGGGAGGAUCAUAAAACUGGUGCGUGUGUGCUCUUUAAGGCAGGCAGUUGCUUAUUUUGGUUGCUGUUUAAGCAGGCAAGUUAAGGGGUUUCAGGUGCAAAGUUUCAUGGGCACUUCUGGAAACCCAGGGACCCAGGAGCUAUGCCACAGAGCAAUGCCCUAGUUAUUUCCAGCUCUGAAAAGAUGUUUUGCCUUAGCCCAGCCUUUCUGGGAAAGCAAACCUGGGACACCACAUUCAUUCAGCAUGGACAACACAGGCACGUAACUGUCUGCAUGACUUGUAACUAGUACUGAAGAUCUGUCUGUCAGAAGUACUCCUGAAUGCGAGUCGAACACAUACAAUGCUUAAACCACCAUCAGAUCCCUGUCUUGCCAGACCCUCAGUAACAGCAGCUUUAAAGCUUUGGCUAGCACUAAAACAAUUUCUGUAAAAUACACCACAGAUAGCUUCUAAUUUGAAAAUAUUAGCAUGAAUAACAAUGUGUUUGAUAUGCAUUCAAGCAGUUAUGCUCUUGGUUAAAAAAAAAUUAAUAAAUGUUUGAGAGAAUCUGUCUAGUGAGGGGACUGAUGUACAUUUGUGGUGCCCUUUCUUGGCUGUUUAAACUUAAAAUAGAAAAUUAGAUCAACUAGGUUUUCCAUUUUAACUUUCUGGUUAUCCUUUGAUGCUAAGUUGCUAAUUACAUACAGGUGGUGUAAUAGUCAAGUGAUGAAAAUUUGUGGCACAGAAUACUUACAGUCUUGCAUAGACCCGAGUUAGCAAUGCUCUACCAGAUUUACAAAGCAAAGCCACAAAUUUAACAAUGAAAUCCUGCUUGCAAGGAACCAGCACAAACUCCCAUCACCCAGCAGCACCUCUUGUGCACCUCAGAUCAGACUCUGAUGGAACUGAUGUGUAGUCACCAUUCAUUUAGGUCACCUUAUGUACCGGGUUUUCAGCUUUAAAAUCUUCCUUUUAAAACAUGGAUUCAAGUACCUUAACAUGUACCUGGAAAUGCUGGAGGAAUAAACUCCCUGGCAAUAC
ensembl:lncRNA